rnacentral:rRNA from 1 species
GACGAACGCUGGCGGCGUGCCUAAUACAUGCAAGUCGAACGCACUCUCGUUUAGAUUGAAGGAGCUUGCUCCUGAUUGAUAAACAUUUGAGUGAGUGGCGGACGGGUGAGUAACACGUGGGUAACCUGCCCUAAAGUGGGGGAUAACAUUUGGAAACAGAUGCUAAUACCGCAUAAAACCUAACACCGCAUGGUGUAGGGUUGAAAGAUGGUUUCGGCUAUCACUUUAGGAUGGACCCGCGGUGCAUUAGUUAGUUGGUGAGGUAAAGGCUCACCAAGACCGUGAUGCAUAGCCGACCUGAGAGGGUAAUCGGCCACACUGGGACUGAGACACGGCCCAGACUCCUACGGGAGGCAGCAGUAGGGAAUCUUCCACAAUGGACGAAAGUCUGAUGGAGCAACGCCGCGUGAGUGAAGAAGGUUUCGGAUCGUAAAACUCUGUUGCUGGAGAAGAAUGUAUCUGAUAGUAACUGAUCAGGUAGUGACGGUAUCCAACCAGAA